rnacentral:misc_RNA from 1 species
AAGUCGUAACAAGGUUUCCGUAGGUGAACCUGCGGAAGGAUCAUUACAAAUCCAACGUCUCUCACGAGACCUCGUUGAAUCGUUUCGGGAGCCGGUGCGAAGGGGGGUGGUGGUGCGUCCGCGCGCCGCCGCCUCUCCGAGCGCCCUCCCACACAACCACAUACCUGUCAUUCGUUGCGCAUACGUAGUAUCUUUACAACAAAGAAACAACUUAUAACAAUGGAUCUCUAGGCUCUU